AUUGAACGCUGGCGGCAGGCCUAACACAUGCAAGUCGAGCGGUAGCACAGAGAGCUUGUUUUCGGGUGACGAGCGGCGGACGGGUGAGUAAUGUCUGGGAAACUGCCUGAUGGAGGGGGAUAACUACUGGAAACGGUAGCUAAUACCGCAUAACGUCGCAAGACCAAAGAGGGGGACCUUCGGGCCUCUUGCCAUCAGAUGUGCCCAGAUGGGAUUAGCUAGUAGGUGGGGUAACGGCUCACCUAGGCGACGAUCCCUAGCUGGUCUGAGAGGAUGACCAGCCACACUGGAACUGAGACACGGUCCAGACUCCUACGGGAGGCAGCAGUGGGGAAUAUUGCACAAUGGGCGCAAGCCUGAUGCAGCCAUGCCGCGUGUAUGAAGAAGGCCUUCGGGUUGUAAAGUACUCUUCAGCGGGGAGGAAGGCGUUAAGGUUAAUAACCUUGUCGAUUGACGUUACCCGCAGAAGAAGCACCGGCUAACUCCGUGCCAGCAGCCGCGGUAAUACGGAGGGUGCAAGCGUUAAUCGGAAUUACUGGGCGUAAAGCGCACGCAGGCGGUCUGUCAAGUCGGAUGUGAAAUCCCCGGGCUCAACCUGGGAACUGCAUUCGAAACUGGCAGGCUAGAGUCUUGUAGAGGGGGGUAGAAUUCCAGGUGUAGCGGUGAAAUGCGUAGAGAUCUGGAGGAAUACCGGUGGCGAAGGCGGCCCCCUGGACAAAGACUGACGCUCAGGUGCGAAAGCGUGGGGAGCAAACAGGAUUAGAUACCCUGGUAGUCCACGCCGUAAACGAUGUCGACUUGGAGGUUGUGCCCUUGAGGCGUGGCUUCCGGAGCUAACGCGUUAAGUCGACCGCCUGGGGAGUACGGCCGCAAGGUUAAAACUCAAAUGAAUUGACGGGGGCCCGCACAAGCGGUGGAGCAUGUGGUUUAAUUCGAUGCAACGCGAAGAACCUUACCUACUCUUGACAUCCAGAGAACUUUCCAGAGAUGGAUUGGUGCCUUCGGGAACUCUGAGACAGGUGCUGCAUGGCUGUCGUCAGCUCGUGUUGUGAAAUGUUGGGUUAAGUCCCGCAACGAGCGCAACCCUUAUCCUUUGUUGCCAGCGGUUAGGCCGGGAACUCAAAGGAGACUGCCAGUGAUAAACUGGAGGAAGGUGGGGAUGACGUCAAGUCAUCAUGGCCCUUACGAGUAGGGCUACACACGUGCUACAAUGGCGCAUACAAAGAGAAGCGACCUCGCGAGAGCAAGCGGACCUCAUAAAGUGCGUCGUAGUCCGGAUUGGAGUCUGCAACUCGACUCCAUGAAGUCGGAAUCGCUAGUAAUCGUAGAUCAGAAUGCUACGGUGAAUACGUUCCCGGGCCUUGUACACACCGCCCGUCACACCAUGGGAGUGGGUUGCAAAAGAAGUAGGUAGCUUAACCUUCGGGAGGGCGCUUACCACUUUGUGAUUCAUGACUGGGGUGAAGUCGUAACAAGGUAACCGUAGGGGGAACC
rnacentral:rRNA from 1 species